UUGAUAUUUAUUAUUCGUGAAGGUACUACUAAUUAACAACAAUUUUAUAAUCAAAACAAAAAAAAUCA
rnacentral:misc_RNA from 1 species